GUCGUGAGAUGUUGGGUUAAGUCCCGUAACGAGCGCAACCCUUGUCCUUAGUUACCAGCACGUUAUGGUGGGCACUCUAAGGAGACUGCCGGUGACAACCGGAGGAAGGUGGGGAUGACGUCAAGUCAUCAUGGCCCUUACGGCCUGGGCUACACACGUGCUACAAUGGUCGGUACAAAGGGUUGCCAAGCCGCGAGGUGGAGCUAAUCCCAUAAAACCGAUCGUAGUCCGGAUCGCAGUCUGCAACUCGACUGCGUGAAGUCGGAAUCGCUAGUAAUCGUGAAUCAGAAUGUCACGGUGAAUACGUUCCCGGGCCUU
rnacentral:rRNA from 1 species